GUGCCAGCAGCCGCGGUAAUUCCAGCUCCAAUAGCGUAUAUUAAAGUUGUUGUGGUUAAAAAGCUCGUAGUUGGAUCUCGGCGGACUGAGGGCGGUUUGCUUGCUAGUAUUACUGCCCUAUAGUCCGUAGUUUUGCCAGAGGUUUCGGGGUGCUCUUAAUCGAGUGUCCCGGGAUGCUGGCAGGUUUACUUUGAAAAAAUUAGAGUGCUCAAAGCAGGCUAUUACGCCUGAAUAUUCGUGCAUGGAAUAAUAGAAUAGGAAGUCGUUUCUAUUUUGUUGGUUUUCGGAAAUCGACUUAAUGAUUAAUAGGGACAGUCGGGGGCAUUUGUAUUCAAACGACAGAGGUGAAAUUCUUGGACCGUUUGAAGACAAACUACUGCGAAAGCAUUUGCCAAGAAUGUUUUCAUUAAUCAAGAACGAAAGUUAAAGGUUCGAAGGCGAUUAGAUACCGCCCUAGUUUUAACCAUAAACGAUGCCAGCUAGCGAUCUGCGGACGUUUUUUUUGUAGACUCCGCAGGAAGCUUCCGGGAAACCAAAGCAUUUGGGUUCCAGGGGAAGUAUGGUUGCAAAGCUGAAACUUAAAGGAAUUGACGGAAGGGCACCACCAGGAGUGGAGCCUGUGGCUUAAUUUGACUCAACACGGGAAAUCUCACCAGGCCCGGACACUGGAAGGAUUGACAGAUUGAUAGCUCUUUCUUGAUUCGGUGGGUGGUGGUGCAUGGCCGUUCUUAGUUGGUGGAGUGAUUUGUCUGGUUAAUUCCGAUAACGAACGAGACUCUGUCCUGCUAAAUAGUGUCUGCUUCUCUUUUGAGCAGACAAUUCUUCUUAGAGGGACUGGCGACUCUUAGUCGCACGAGAUUGAGCAAUAACAGGUCUGUGAUGCCC
rnacentral:rRNA from 1 species